CAACAAGCCAUUGAUCGGUACGGGUUGUGAGAGCAAGAGCCCGGAGAUGGAUUCUGAGACACGAAUCCAGGCCCUACGGGGCGCAGCAGGCGCGAAAACUUUACAAUGCGAGAAAUCGUGAUAAGGGAACCCCGAGUGCCCGUAAAUUCGGGCUGUCCGCCAGUGUAAAUAACUGGUGAAGAAAGGGCCGGGCAAGACCGGUGCCAGCCGCCGCGGUAAUACCGGCGGCUCGAGUGGUGGCCACUAUUACUGGGCUUAAAGCGUCCGUAGCUGGAUUGUUAAGUCUCUUGGGAAAUCCACCGGCUCAACCGAUGGGCGUUCAGGAGAAACUGGCAAUCUAGGGACCGGGAGAGGUGAGAGGUACUCCAGGGGUAGGAGUGAAAUCCUGUAAUCCUUGGGGGACCACCUGUGGCGAAGGCGUCUCACUAGAACGGCUCCGACAGUGAGGGACGAAAGCUGGGGGAGCAAACCGGAUUAGAUACCCGGGUAGUCCCAGCUGUAAACGAUGCGCGUUAGGUGUAUCGGUGACCACGAGUCAUCGAGGUGCCGAAGGGAAACCGUGAAACGUG
rnacentral:rRNA from 1 species